UAGGGAAUCUUCGGCAAUGGGGGGAACCCUGACCGAGCAACGCCGCGUGAGUGAAGAAGGUUUUCGGAUCGUAAAGCUCUGUUGUUAAGGAAGAACGAGUGUGAGAAUGGAAAGUUCAUACUGUGACGGCACUUAACCAGAAAGGGACGGCUAACUACGUGCCAGCAGCCGCGGUAAUACGUAGGUCCCGAGCGUUGUCCGGAUUUAUUGGGCGUAAAGCGAGCGCAGGCGGUUAGAUAAGUCUGAAGUGAAAGGCAGUGGCUCAACCAUUGUAGGCUUUGGAAACUGUUUAACUUGAGUGCAGAAGGGGAGAGUGGAAUUCCAUGUGUAGCGGUGAAAUGCGUAGAUAUAUGGAGGAACACCGGUGGCGAAAGCGGCUCUCUGGUCUGUAACUGACGCUGAGGCUCGAAAGCGUGGGGAGCGAACAGG
rnacentral:rRNA from 1 species